CAGAGGAGGUGCAAACGUUGCUCGGAAUCACUGGGCGUAAAGGGCGUGUAGGCGGGAAGGUAAGUCGGGCGUGAAAUCCCUGAGCUCAACUCAGGAACUGCACUCGAAACUACUUUUCUUGAGUGCCGGAGAGGAAAGCGGAAUUCCUGGUGUAGAGGUGAAAUUCGUAGAUAUCAGGAGGAACACCAGUGGCGAAGGCGGCUUUCUGGACGGUAACUGACGCUGAGACGCGAAAGCGUGGGGAGCAAACAGG
rnacentral:rRNA from 1 species